rnacentral:tRNA from 1 species
UGCGGUGUAGUGGAGUUCGGUACCAUGCGAGGCUCAUAACCUCUGCGACACGGGUUCAAAUCCCGUCGCCGCGA